GCUCCUGUAGCUCAGAGGGUAAAGUGCUGGUCUCAUACACCAAAACUGGUGAGUUCGAGCCUGGCCAGGGCCU
rnacentral:tRNA from 1 species